UACGGAGGGUGCAAGCAUUAAUCGGAUUUAUUGGGCGUAAAGGGCGCGUAGGCGGAUAGAUAAGUCAGAUGUGAAAUUCCAAGGCUCAACUUUGGAGCUGCAUUUGAAACUAUUUAUCUUGAGGGAUGGCGGAGAAAACGGAAUUCCACGUGUAGCGGUGAAAUGCGUAGAUAUGUGGAGGAACACCUGUGGCGAAAGCGGUUUUCUAGCUUAUACCUGACGCUGAGGCGCGAGAGCAAGGGGAGCAAACAGG
rnacentral:rRNA from 2 species